AGUGAACGCUGGCGGUAGGCCUAACACAUGCAAGUCGAACGGCAGCACAGUAAGAGCUUGCUCUUACGGGUGGCGAGUGGCGGACGGGUGAGGAAUACAUCGGAAUCUACUUUUUCGUGGGGGAUAACGUAGGGAAACUUACGCUAAUACCGCAUACGACCUACGGGUGGAAGCAGGGGAUCUUCGGACCUUGCGCGAUUGAAUGAGCCGAUGUCGGAUUAGCUAGUUGGCGGGGUAAAGGCCCACCAAGGCGACGAUCCGUAGCUGGUCUGAGAGGAUGAUCAGCCACACUAGAACUGAGACACGGUCCAGACUCCUACGGGAGGCAGCAGUGGGGAAUAUUGGACAAUGGGCGCAAGCCUGAUCCAGCCAUACCGCGUGGGUGAAGAAGGCCUUCGGGUUGUAAAGCCCUUUUGUUGGGAAAGAAAAGCAGCAGGUUAAUACCCCGCUGUUCUGACGGUACCCAAAGAAUAAGCACCGGCUAACUUCGUG
rnacentral:rRNA from 1 species